rnacentral:tRNA from 1 species
GCGGGCGUAGCUCAGUUGGUAGAGCACAGGAUUGUGGCUCCUGUUGUCGCCGGUUCGAUCCCGGUCGCUCGCCCCA